CUUGGUCGCCGGGCGUCAUUGCACAAUUCUUUUUAAUCUCAGCCAUCGCGGGAAGAAGAUCUUGGGAAUCCAGAGGAAACUCUAGUAAUAGGAAGCCAGUGGACGCUCAAGUAACGACUCUGCUAUAAAAUGAAAGCUGUCGACAACAAGAAUGAAGUAAUUGCAUUAUAACAAUGAGUCGACUCUGGAAUGAGAAUUCUGUUAUCUUAUCGAACCCCAAUUAAGGAUGGCAACCCAAAAGACAGGAUAUCUGCUGUGAGGGAUCAAAAAAGCCUUUCCUGGAAAGGCCUAUUUAUUAAAUGGAAUACGCUUUGAGACUUCAAGCUAUGUGAAGUGGCUCCGCCGGCGACUUUAUGGCAAACUAAGUCUACGCGGUUGUCAACUCGCUCAUUUAUGUGAUGGACAGCAAUGCAACAGGACCUCCAGGACCAAGGGAGAGGACCCAGGGAAGUACAAGUGACAUGAAAACGCGAGCAAAAUUAAACAAAUCAUUGUCGGGUUCUCAUUCAUUCGCGUUUGCUUGCAUUGUAUUUUAAUUUUGCGCAAUUUCUUUUAACAAUUUGUAACGG